AUGGGGACGCCGUGCACGGAGGAUGAUCGCCACUUCUUUGCGGCUGCCACUUUGGUCACUGUUGGAAAUGGACGAACUGCACAAUUUUGGAACUCGUCGUGGCUCAACGGCUUACGCCCCCGUGACAUCGCGCCGGACCUCUUUGCCCUCUCUCGCAAGAAGAAAUCCUCGGUCCAGCAAGCCAUGACCAACAAUCUUUGGAUCACUUCUAUUGAUGGCACCAAUGGUCUGUCCCUCGCACAUAUCGAGCAGUUUGCUGACCUUUGGGAAAGAUUAUCAUCGGUGGCCCUAGUGGAAGAGGUGGAAGACUCGAUUAUUUGGAAGUUCACUAAGGAUGGGACAUAUUCUGCUUCCUCGGCAUACAAGGCUCAGUUUGAAGGUCUGACAUCCUCUGAUCUUGAGCAGUCCGUGUGGAGGGCGUGGGCUCCCCCGAGGUGCAAAUUUUUUGCUUGGCUAGUUCUUUAA
rnacentral:rRNA from 1 species